GUUGAAGGCCCAUCUACAGUUGAGGAGGAUGAGGAGACUGUGUCAGUAUGUUCAAGGAGGCCUGAGGAUGCUGACACCCUUCUAGAGCCCUCUCAGUCUGGGACCACAUGUGACCAAAACAUAAAGGGAGUCUACAAAAGGUAUCUCCUGAAACAAAUGGAGGCCACAGAUACUGACAUCCAAUAUAAAAAACUCAAGAUGAGAAAGUUGGAGCUGGAAAUCCAACAGC